rnacentral:rRNA from 1 species
GCUAUCUACAGGCUUAACACAUGCAAGUCGAGGGGCAGCAUUUUAGUUUGCUUGCAAACUGAAGAUGGCGACCGGCGCACGGGUGAGUAACACGUAUCCAACCUGCCGAUAACUCCGGAAUAGCCUUUCGAAAGAAAGAUUAAUACCGGAUAGCAUACGAAUAUCGCAUGAUAUUUUUAUUAAAGAAUUUCGGUUAUCGAUGGGGAUGCGUUCCAUUAGUUUGUUGGCGGGGUAACGGCCCACCAAGACUACGAUGGAUAGGGGUUCUGAGAGGAAGGUCCCCCACAUUGGAACUGAGACACGGUCCAAACUCCUACGGGAGGCAGCAGUGAGGAAUAUUGGUCAAUGGGCGAGAGCCUGAACCAGCCAAGUAGCGUGAAGGAUGAAGGCUCUAUGGGUCGUAAACUUCUUUUAUAUGGGAAUAAAGUUUUCCACGUGUGGAAUUUUGUAUGUACCAUAUGAAUAAGGAUCGGCUAACUCCGUGCCAGCAGCCGCGGUAAUACGGAGGAUCCGAGCGUUAUCCGGAUUUAUUGGGUUUAAAGGGAGCGUAGGUGGAUUGUUAAGUCAGUUGUGAAAGUUUGCGGCUCAACCGUAAAAUUGCAGUUGAAACUGGCAGUCUUGAGUACAGUAGAGGUGGGCGGAAUUCGUGGUGUAGCGGUGAAAUGCUUAGAUAUCACGAAGAACUCCGAUUGCGAAGGCAGCUCACUAGACUGUCACUGACACUGAUGCUCGAAAGUGUGGGUAUCAAACAGGAUUAGAUACCCUGGUAGUCCACACAGUAAACGAUGAAUACUCGCUGUUUGCGAUAUACAGUAAGCGGCCAAGCGAAAGCAUUAAGUAUUCCACCUGGGGAGUACGCCGGCAACGGUGAAACUCAAAGGAAUUGACGGGGGCCCGCACAAGCGGAGGAACAUGUGGUUUAAUUCGAUGAUACGCGAGGAACCUUACCCGGGCUUAAAUUGCAACAGAAUAUAUUGGAAACAGUAUAGCCGUAAGGCUGUUGUGAAGGUGCUGCAUGGUUGUCGUCAGCUCGUGCCGUGAGGUGUCGGCUUAAGUGCCAUAACGAGCGCAACCCUUAUCUUUAGUUACUAACAGGUUAUGCUGAGGACUUUAGAGAGACUGCCGUCGUAAGAUGUGAGGAAGGUGGGGAUGACGUCAAAUCAGCACGGCCCUUACGUCCGGGGCUACACACGUGUUACAAUGGGGGGUACAGAAGGCGGCUACCUGGUGACAGGAUGCUAAUCCCAAAAACCUCUCUCAGUUCGGAUCGAAGUCUGCAACCCGACUUCGUGAAGCUGGAUUCGCUAGUAAUCGCGCAUCAGCCAUGGCGCGGUGAAUACGUUCCCGGGCCUUGUACACACCGCCCGUCAAGCCAUGAAAGCCGGGGGUACCUGAAGUACGUAACCGCAAGGAGCGUCCUAGGGUAAAACUGGUAAUUGGGG